rnacentral:tRNA from 1 species
CAGGAAAUAGUUUAUUAAAAUAUUAAUUUUGGAGAUUAAAGAUGGGAAGGCUCUCUUUCCUGA